UUCAAUACAUUGUAAAAGCAGAGAGUUGAUAGAGCAAUUCUCUUAGGUCUAUUUGGGAUCUCUUCCCUUUCCUUGUUAAUAUAUCAAGGCAGUUGUUCACUGAUAAAUUUAGGAUCAUUUGGAUCCAAACCACGUUAAAUCUUGUGUCUUUCUCUCGUUCCUUAUUUCACGUUUCCGCUAAUAAAAACAGAUGUUAAGUAGCAGUUUCUCAAGCUUAGAGAGGAUUCACGUCAAGGCUAAUGUAGCAAUUUUCUCAACUGGCUUUCCAAAGGCUAUGAAAAAUGGUACUCAUCUGCCCUUGCCCCAAUUUAAGCAUUCUCAUACAACAAAACUUGUGAAGUCAUGUAAUGAAUCUCAAAUUUCCCUCAUCAAACACAAAGGAAUUCUCUACUAAUACAUACUAAACAAUUGCUAUCAUAAUCCUCAAAGACCCUCUUGUUCAAGGGAAUGGAAAAUCUCAGAUUAGCUAAAUUAUUACUAUUAUAUGUACUGUUUCCCUUCUCCCAUCUCAAUUAAAUGUCUUCUGGUUAGCAAUUUCCUUCAGCAUAUUGAUAACCUAGACAGUUUCAUCCUUCCGAGAUUUAUAACCCAAUCCAUCUUAUCCUCCCACAGACUAGGUCACAUCCCAUUCCAUAAAUAACAACAAGAAUAUACCAGUAUAAUCCCACAAAGUGGAGGUAUGAGGAAGGUAAAGUGUACGCAGACCUUACCCCUACCUCAAAGGUAGAGAGGUUGUUUCCGAUAGACCCCAGGCCAAGAUGAAAACAGUUAUUCAAAUCAAUCCAGAAAAAGAAGUCAUGAAAGUACAAGAAACAACAUAUAGAAUCACAACAGUAGUACCAACAAAUAAUACUAUAAUGAACUACACGGAAAGAGAAGUAAAUUAAUGAAAUGCUUGAUCAAUAAUUUGGAUAAUCAAAUUUCGAAUCCAAACAUGAACGAGACUAGGUGAAUGAAGCAAUCUUAUUUACAGGAAAUUAUGAAGCACGAUGAGUUUGAAAAACUCCAGGCAAGUUCAGGGAGUCUAAGCUGAUGACAACAAUGAUGAGGAGAAGAACAAUGUGAUAUUAAUGUUACCUAG
rnacentral:lncRNA from 1 species